rnacentral:lncRNA from 1 species
CUUUUUUUUUUUUUUUUGAGAUGGAGUCUCGCUCUUGUUGCCCAGGCUGGAAUGCAAUGGCACAAUCUUGGCUCACCACAACCUCCACCUCCCAGGUUCAAGGGAUUCUCCUGCCUCAGCCUCCCGAAUAGCUGGGAUUACAGGCAUGCACCACCACACCCGGCUAAUUUUGUAUUUUUAGUAGAGACAGUUUCUCCGUAUUGGUCAGGCUGGUCUCGAACUCCUGACCUCAGGUGAUUCACCCGCCUCGGCUUCCCAAAGUGCUGGGAUUACAGAGGUAACCCACUGCACCCAGCCGUAG